rnacentral:rRNA from 1 species
AACGAACGCUGGCGGCAUGCCUAACACAUGCAAGUCGAACGAGACCUUCGGUUCUAGUGCCUCGCGGGUGCUUAACGCGUGGUAACCUAUCCUUAGGUUCAUAAUCACUCCCCGAAGGUGGUGCGAAUACCGGAUGAUUACUACGGACCAAAGUUUUCUGGCGUUUGGAUGGGCCCUCGUUGCAUUAGCCAGUUGGUAUGGUAAACGCCUACCAAGGCGACGCUCCAUAUCUGGUCUGAGAGGCUGAUCAGCCACACUGGGACUGAGACACGGCCCAGAAUCCUAGGCGAGGCAGCAGUGGGGGAUCUAGGAAAAUCGGCGAAAGCAUGAUGCAGCACGGCCGCGAGAGCGAUGAAGGCCUUAGGGUUGUCAAGCUCUUUUACACGGGCUGAUAAUGACAGUACCGGGAGAAUAAGCUCCGGCUAACUACGUG